GUCCACCCCGUAAACGUUGGUAACUAGUUGUGGGGUCCAUUCCACGGAUUCCGUGACGCAGCUAACGCAUUAAGUUCCCCGCCUGGGGAGUACGGCCGCAAGGCUAAAACUCAAAGGAAUUGACGGGACCCGCACAAGCGGCGGAGCAUGCUGAUUAAUUCGAUGCAACGCGAAGAACCUUACCAAGACUUGACAUAUACGAGAACGGGCCAGAAAUGGUCAACUCUUUGGACACUCGUAAAACAGGUGGUGCAUGGUUGUCGU
rnacentral:rRNA from 1 species